AGCAGUCGCCGCGGGAAUACGGAGGGUGCAAGCGUUAAUCGGAGUUACUGGGCGUAAAGCGCACGCAGGCGGUUUGUUAAGUCAGAUGUGAAAUCCCCGAGCUUAACUUGGGAACUGCAUUUGAAACUGGCAAGCUAGAGUCUUGUAGAGGGGGGUAGAAUUCCAGGUGUAGCGGUGAAAUGCGUAGAGAUCUGGAGGAAUACCGGUGGCGAAGGCGGCCCCCUGGACAAAGACUGACGCUCAGGUGCGAAAGCGUGGGGAGCAAACAGGAUUAGAUACCCCAGUAGUCCCUGUCUCUUAUAC
rnacentral:rRNA from 1 species